rnacentral:lncRNA from 1 species
GAGGCCUUGAGUCGAGAAAUGAAGAGCGGAAAUGAUGCUAUAAGGAGUGAUAUGGAUUCAAGAGGGGUGACAUGAUUAGAAUUAGAGCGAGGAUUGAUAGACUAUGUCCACCAAAAUCUCCAUAAUUCCAAACACCUCAAGUCCAAAGAUCCAAUGCUUCACAAAACCAGCCACUAAACCCACCCCAAACUUCCCCUAACCGGACCCUACAAAGACUAUUACAUCACCAAAUGAACUAAGUCCAACAAGAGGGACUUGGAACUCAAACUCCACCACCAAAUCCAAACCUAAUACCCCCG